rnacentral:rRNA from 1 species
UACGGAGGAUGCGAGCGUUAUCCGGAUUUAUUGGGUUUAAAGGGUGCGCAGGCGGCGUGUCAAGUCAGCGGUAAAAUGUCGGGGCUCAACCCCUGCCGGCCGUUGAAACUGGCGUGCUCGAGUUGGAGAGAAGUAUGCGGAAUUCGUGGUGUAGCGGUGAAAUGCAUAGAUAUCACGAAGAACCCCGAUUGCGAAGGCAGCAUACCGGCUCCACACUGACGCUGAGGCACGAAAGCGUGGGUAUCGAACAGG